CCAAUAGCGUAUAUUAAAGUUGUUGCAGUUAAAAAGCUCGUAGUUGAAUUUCGGGGUCAGUAGGUCGGUCGUGCCACUGGUAUGAACUGGUUUUACUGAUUCCUCCCUCUUGAAGAACUGUAAUGCCAUUAAUUUGGUGUUGCAGGGAAUCAGGACUGUUACUUUGAAAAAAUUAGAGUGUUUAAAGCAGGCUUUAGCUUGAAUACAUUAGCAUGGAAUAAUGAAAUAGGACGUUUGAUCCUAUUUUGUUGGUUUCUAGGAUUGACGUUAUGAUUAAUAGGGUUAGUUGGGGGCAUUAGUAUUCAAUUGUCAGAGGUUAAAUUCUUGGAUUUAUUGAAGACUAACUACUGCGAAAGCAUUUGCCAAGGAUGUUUUCAUUAAUCAAGAACGAAAGUUAGGGGAUCGAAGACGAUCAGAUACCGUCGUAGUCUUAACCAUAAACUAUGCCGACUAGGGAUCGGAUGAUGUUAAUUUUUUAAUGACUCUUUCGGCGCCUUAC
rnacentral:rRNA from 1 species